rnacentral:rRNA from 1 species
AGAGUUUGAUCAUGGCUCAGAACGAACGUUAGCGGCGCGCCUAACACAUGCAAGUCGCACGAGAAAGGGCUUCGGCCCCGGUAAAGUGGCGCACGGGUGAGUAACACGUGGGUAAUCUGCUCGAGCGGGGGAUAACAUUCCGAAAGGAGUGCUAAUACCGCAUAAGACCACGAUCUCGAAAGAGGACGAGGUAAAAGCUG